UGCNAGUCGAACGGUAACAGGNUGNGCUUGCACACCGCUGACGAGUGGCGGACGGGUGAGUAAUGCUUGGGAACUUGCCUUUGCGAGGGGGAUAACAGUUGGAAACGACUGCUAAUACCGCAUAAUGUCUUCGGACCAAACGGGGCUUCGGCUCCGGCGCAAAGAGAGGCCCAAGUGAGAUUAGCUAGUUGGUAAGGUAACGGCUUACCAAGGCGACGAUCUCUAGCUGUUCUGAGAGGAAGAUCAGCCACACUGGGACUGAGACACGGCCCAGACUCCUACGGGAGGCAGCAGUGGGGAAUAUUGCACAAUGGGGGAAACCCUGAUGCAGCCAUGCCGCGUGUGUGAAGAAGGCCUUCGGGUUGUAAAGCACUUUCAGUUGUGAGGAAAAGUUAGUAGUUAAUACCUGCUAGCCGUGACGUUAACAACAGAAGAAGCACCGGCUAACUCCGUGCCAGCAGCCGCGGUAAUACGGAGGGUGCGAGCGUUAAUCGGAAUUACUGGGCGUAAAGCGCACGCAGGCGGUUUGUUAAGCUAGAUGUGAAAGCCCCGGGCUCAACCUGGGAUGGUCAUUUAGAACUGGCAGACUAGAGUCUUGGAGAGGGGAGUGGAAUUCCAGGUGUAGCGGUGAAAUGCGUAGAUAUCUGGAGGAACAUCAGUGGCGAAGGCGACUCCCUGGCCAAAGACUGACGCUCAUGUGCGAAAGUGUGGGUAGCGAACAGGAUUAGAUACCCUGGUAGUCCACACCGUAAACGCUGUCUACUAGCUGUGUGUGUCUUUNNGGCGUGCGUAGCGAAGCUAACGCGCUAAGUAGACCGCCUGGGGAGUA
rnacentral:rRNA from 1 species